rnacentral:rRNA from 1 species
UACGAAGGGGGCUAGCGUUGCUCGGAAUCACUGGGCGUAAAGCGCACGUAGGCGGAUUGCUAAGUCAGGGGUGAAAUCCUGGAGCUCAACUCCAGAACUGCCUUUGAUACUGGCGAUCUCGAGUCCGGGAGAGGUGAGUGGAACUGCGAGUGUAGAGGUGAAAUUCGUAGAUAUUGGGAAGAACACCGGUGGCGAAGGCGGCCAUCUGGACCGGAACUGACGCUGAGGCGCGAAAGCCAGGGGAGCGAAUGGG